GCCCUUGCAGUAGCCUUAUGUGGUUCACCACUAUACGGUGGAUGCCAAACUUGCUUCCAUCUUUGCUUGGACACGAGGACUUGCUCACAGGGCUAAGUUGGACAACAACGAUAGACUCUUGGAUUUCACCGAGAAGCUUGAAGCAGCUUGCAUUGGUGCUGUGGAGUCUGGAAAGAUGACCAAGGAUCUUGCACUUAUCAUCCAUGGGUCAAAGCUUUCAAGGGACACAUAUCUAAACAUUGAAGAAUUCAUUGACGCUGUGGCAGAUGAACUGAAAGCUAAACUCUUGAAAGCCAAGGCAUAAUUGAUAAAUGCUUGGAUGCAGCAGUAGAAAUGACAUUGUAUUUGACAGAGAACA